GACGAACGCUGGCGGCGUGCUUAACACAUGCAAGUCGAGCGGAAAGGCCCUUUCGGGGGUACUCGAGCGGCGAACGGGUGAGUAACACGUGAGUAAUCUGCCCUGGACUCUGGGAUAGCCACCGGAAACGGUGAUUAAUACCGGAUAUGACACCUUGCUGCAUGGUGGGGUGUGGAAAGUUUGUUCGGUCCAGGAUGUGCUCGCGGCCUAUCAGCUUGUUGGUGAGGUAAUGGCUCACCGAGGCUUUGACGGGUAGCCGGCCUGGGAAGGUGACCGGUCACACUGGGACUGAGACAAGGCCCAGACUCCUACGGGAGGCAGCCGUGGGGAAUAUUGGACAAUGGGCGGAAGCCUGAUCCAGCAACGCCGCGUGGGGGAUGACGGCCUUCGGGUUGUAAACCUCUUGCAGUACCGACGAAGCGUGAGUGACGGUAGGUACAGAAGAAGGACCGGCCAACUACGUGCCAGCCGCCGCAGUAACAC
rnacentral:rRNA from 1 species